rnacentral:rRNA from 1 species
CCUACGGGUGGCAGCAGUGAGGAAUAUUGGUCAAUGGGCGUAAGCCUGAACCAGCCAAGUCGCGUGAGGGAUGAAGGUUCUAUGGAUCGUAAACCUCUUUUAUAAGGGAAUAAAGUGUGGGACGUGUCCUGUUUUGUAUGUACCUUAUGAAUAAGGAUCGGCUAACUCCGUGCCAGCAGCCGCGGUAAUACGGAGGAUCCGCGCGUUAUCCGGAUUUAUUGGGUUUAAAGGUUGCGUAGGCGGCCUUUUAAGUCAGCGGGGAAAGUCUGUGGCUCAACCAUAGAAUUGCCGUGUACAAUGGGAGGCUUGAGUAUGUUUGAGGCAGGCGGAAUGCGUGGUGUAGCGGUGAAAUGCUUAGAUAUCACGCAGAACCCCGAUUGCGAAGGCAGCCUGCCAAGCCAUGACUGACGCUGAUGCACGAAAGCGUGGGGAUCAAACAGGAGUAGAUACCCCAGUAGUC